rnacentral:lncRNA from 1 species
UUCGAUGAAGAAUACAAAGCAUCCAGUCUCUAAAUUCAUACUAUCCAGACCUCUCUCAAUUCGCAGGUAGAGCAUCCACUUCAACAAACACAGAAGUGAAGGUUAUGUCCGAUUUGAGGGAGAUGGCAGAAUCAGUAUCUUCAAACCCUAAUUCUGAGAUUCCACAACGUCGUUGGGUUCCGCCGCGUCCGUCUAUUUGAGUGACGACCGAGUAUCUUCAAACCCUAAUUUAAGCAACGGAUGACGGCAGAUCCUUCUUCGCUGUUCGCAGAAGAGUUAGUGAACCGUAUCUCUGGAGAGUCUAUGAACUGUCACAGGCUUUACUAUCAACAUAGUUAA